GGACCAGACUCCUACGGGAGGCAGCAGUGGGGAAUAUUGCACAAUGGGGGAAACCCUGAUGCAGCGACGCCGCGUGAGUGAAGAAGUAUUUCGGUACGUAAAGCUCUAUCAGCAGGGAAGAAAAUGACGGUACCUGACUAAGAAGCCCCGGCUAACUACGUGCCAGCAGCCGCGGUAAUACGUAGGGGGCAAGCGUUAUCCGGAUUUACUGGGUGUAAAGGGAGCGUAGACGGCAGCGCAAGUCUGGAGUGAAAUCCCAUGGCUUAACCAUGGAACUGCUUUGGAAACUGUGCAGCUAGAGUGCAGGAGAGGUAAGCGGAAUUCCUAGUGUAGCGGUGAAAUGCGUAGAUAUUAGGAGGAACACCAGUGGCGAAGGCGGCUUUCUGGACUGUAACUGACACUGAGGUACGAAAGCGUGGGGAGCAAACAGGAUUAGAUACCCGCGUAAA
rnacentral:rRNA from 1 species